rnacentral:lncRNA from 1 species
GUGUCAUAUCCAAUGAGUCAAAUGCACGCCUGAAGCGUGGCAGACCAUUAGGUUCCAAAGACGAAAUCCUAGAAAGAGGAAAAAGAAUGAUCAAAAUGACACCAUGAAAGAAUCUCACUAUUUAACAAAUUCUGAGAUUCAUGAAGAAUCCAUUGAGCCCGAGACUCUGGAAAAUACGGAACUAUCCCUAAAUCCAAUUAAUAUUGAGGCAAAUANNNN